rnacentral:rRNA from 1 species
AACGAACGCUGGCGGCGCGCCUAAUACAUGCAAGUCGAGCGAGAAGGUGUAGCAAUACACUUGUAAAGCGGCGAACGGGUGAGGAAUGCAUGGGUAACCUACCCUCGAGUGGGGAAUAACUAGCCGAAAGGUUAGCUAAUACCGCAUACGUUUCCGGAACUUCGGUUUCGGAAAGAAAGCAAUACCGUGGGUAUUGCGCUCCUGGAUGGGCUCAUGUCCUAUCAGCUUGUUGGUGAGGUAACGGCUCACCAAGGCUUCGACGGGUAGCUGGUCUGAGAGGACGAUCAGCCACACUGGCACUGCGACACGGGCCAGACUCCUACGGGAGGCAGCAGUAAGGAUAUUGCGCAAUGGACGAAAGUCUGACGCAGCGACGCCGCGUGGGGGAUGAAGGUCUUCGGAUUGUAAACCCCUUUCGGGAGGGAAGAUGGAGUGGGUAACCACUUGGACGGUACCUCCAGAAGCAGCCACGGGCUAACUUCGUGCCAGCAGCCGCGGUAA